AAAAAGGUGAAGACCUGUGAUGUAUUGAGAGAAAAGGAGAGGACCCAUCCCAGAACCCACAGCAGGAAGGACAUGGUCGGCGAGCCUGGCUGCAGAGGAAACCCAAGCUCACACUAGAGAGGGAGGAGCAUCUGGGAGAAAGGGCUGAGCAACAGCGCCAAAGGUUAUGCAGAAGCUGGGGAUGAGGACUGAGAAAAGGCCAUUGGAAAGAGCCAGACUCCCAAAGGUUGGGAAGGGAGUGGAAGGUAAGAAAGCGGAGGCAGCCACUGGACACCGCUUAUCCAGAACUCGGUCUAAGAAAGAGGAAGGAAGAUACCAGCAGGCAGGUCGAGGGCUAUCUGUCCAAACUGGGCUGCAGCUGAGAGCAGGCAGUGAAAUCCUGCAGAAUCAGAGACUCUCCGAACUCCAAAAUGUCUGAGCUGGGAGAGCUCUCAAGCUUCCCGAACUCAGAACACAGAAGGGGAGAGUCGGGAGGAAGCUCGAAGUCCAUCCAGUCUAGGUCCUCAAGUGUGGCCUUUUGACUGAACCCAAACUUCACAGGGCAAAGCCCCUUAGUCUGAUGACCAAGACAUUGAGGCCCAGGGAAGGGAAAGGUCACUCCGGAUGUUAGGGGCAGAGCCUGUUCUGACCGCAAUCUGUUCUCCCGAUCCUCUUUCUGCUGAAAUCCCAGGACACCUGGUCUCCCAGCAACAGCAGGCUCUGAUGAGAAGUGCAGGCAGGGAACGGCUUCAGAACUCCCCCGAGACGAAAGAGCCUUGGCACCUCAGCUUCCUGGUCCCAGGGCCGCCCCAGACAAAGCAUCAGCCAAAAUCCAGGGCCCCAGGGGUAGUUUCUGCCUCUCUAUCUCUCCAGGCCACCCCAGCUCUCAGCUCUCCGCAUGGCCUGGGGAACGUUGCUGGUGCUUUUCUUGUUGGAAACGGAGGGACGGCUGCCAUCCUGGUGCACAGAUAUGGGAGGCCGAGAUGGUCCUGCUUCCCUUCAGCAAUAGCUCUGAAAAGCUACAUGGUGCCUGGGACAAUUGUGGGCUCUUCGAGGCAGUUGGCUGUGAUAAUUUUUCCAUAUGACAAACGUGUCGUCCGUCCUGCGGCCCAAUCUCUACUUCCGUCCCAGCACUGGCAGACUUGGUGUCAGAGGUGA
rnacentral:lncRNA from 1 species